rnacentral:rRNA from 1 species
UACGUAGGGUCCGAGCGUUGUCCGGAAUUAUUGGACGUAAAGGGCUCGUAGGCGGUCCGUCACGUCGGGAGUGAAAACUCAGGGCUCAACCCUGAGCGUGCUUCCGAUACGGGCGGACUAGAGGUAUGCAGGGGAGAACGGAAUUCCUGGUGUAGCGGUGGAAUGCGCAGAUAUCAGGAGGAACACCGGUGGCGAAGGCGGUUCUCUGGGCAUUACCUGACGCUGAGGAGCGAAAGCAUGGGGAGCGAACAGG